AGCGAACGCUGGCGGCAGGCUUAACACAUGCAAGUCGAACGCCCCGCAAGGGGAGUGGCAGACGGGUGAGUAACACGUGGGAACGUACCCUUUGGUUCGGAAUAACUUGGGGAAACUCAAGCUAAUACCGGAUAAGCCCUUAUGGGGAAAGGUUUACUGCCGAAGGAUCGGCCCGCGUCUGAUUAGCUAGUUGGUGAGGUAAUGGCUCACCAAGGCGACGAUCAGUAGCUGGUCUGAGAGGAUGAUCAGCCACACUGGGACUGGGACACGGCCCAGACUCCUACGGGAGGCAGCAGUGGGGAAUAUUGGACAAUGGGGGCAACCCUGAUCCAGCCAUGCCGCGUGAGUGAUGAAGGCCUUAGGGUUGUAAAGCUCUUUUACCCGGGACGAUAAUGACUGUACCGGGAGAAUAAGCCCCGGCUAACUUCGUGCCAGCCGCCGCGGUAACAC
rnacentral:rRNA from 1 species